CCUUCCGACCAGAAGCUCCCAAAGAAUGCAAGUUCGGAGCUGCAUUUGUGUUUGUUUGCAUACUGGUGUUUUCUAAGAGGACCGACGUGGUCAUUCUGUAUAAUUUUGUGGGAGGAAAAGUCAAAGACUGGGGACAUAACUCAAAAUGCUCAUCCAGCAGGCAAGAAGCAUAAAAGGAAGCCUACGUGAGGGCCAAUGCUGGUGAUUUCGAAAAGUGGAGGCAGGAGAGUGCUGUAGGUAGAAUCCAGGGCCUCCAAGUCCAUGGCAAGCCCUCUACAGCUCAGCACAGUACAGCCCUAGGUGACUCGGCUUCGCGCAUGCUAGACUACCACUUAACCACCGAUCUCCACUCAAGUCCUGCCCCUGACUGUUAAAGCUCACAUUGAAGCCCAGGACAUCUGAACUGUGGGAAUUCCAGACAUCUCUGAAUUCCUCCAAUUACUUGGGAUCCAGGAUUCAGGCGCCUAAUGUGGGCCUGGCGCUCGCCAGGCGGCCGGCUUCCCUGCCAUUCUUCGCAGGAACUGUGUGUACCACAUCAGACUUACUUUCCCAGAAGUGCUUCUGGGACCAGAGUCCACACAAAGGGACCGUUCAAUGUGCUUCCCUCCCUUUUGGCUCAGCUGGCUCCUGAGCCUCGGGUCACACACAGCUCACAGUUCCUAUCAACCUUUCCCAAAGGAUCGCUGGCCUCCUGCAGGAGCCAGCCGGUCCCUGGGGCAGGAAGUUCUGUUUACACUGUCUUGGAGCCAGGUGCUCAUCCAUAAAAGGGAAAAGAGGCCUUUAGGAAAAGGGCUGGGUGCUUGGAAACUCUUUAAAAGUGAAAGCCUCAAGGCUGCUGUCUGUUGUUCAGAGCUUUGUGCUUAGUGCAUAGCGGCUCAGGCUGUGGGCAUAGGCCGGCCAGAACAUCUGAAAACCAACAGAAGCAGAAAAUACAGAGAUGUCAUGGGAAUUCUCAACGCUACACACCCAAGCCAAACUAUGGGGUGUGCUUGUUUGCUUGCUUGCUUUGUUUCAUUAGCUGUAGAGGUCACCUGUAGACAUCAGGCGUUUUCUCUCAAUCACACUCCACCAUUUUAAGAUUCUUCACUUAUGUUAUUAUAGUGCGUGGUUGUAGAUGCGUGCUCACAGGCAUGGUGCCAUUGUGGAGAAGAGAGGACAGCUUUCAGGAGUCAGUUCUUUCUACCAGAAGUUCUGAGGAUCAAGUUCAUCAGGCUGAAUGAGCGGGUGCCUUUUGUUACCACCUGGGCCAUCUCUCUAGCCCCAAAUGGCUGUCUAGUUAGCCUUCUGGAGCACAGUUCCAGAGGACCACACUGGUAUGUCAACUCGAUGGUGCUUUGGAUAAGAAGGAAGGGUCAUGUAGACUCUGGAAUAUCAGACCUUUGGGUCUAUGGAUGGCUGCCUCCAAGUUUCCAUAUGGGUGUUGAGGAAGGAUGCUCUGCUUCAUCUGUGGGAGACACGUGUGGAGAGUGAUGUACACCACGAGCAUGUGGGACAGGCCAGGGAUAGGGUGUCACACGGGUAUCACACGAGAGUCACACGGGUGUCACACGGGUGUCACAUGGGGGGCAGGGUUAGGAAUCAGAAC